GACGAACGCUGGCGGCGUGCUUAACACAUGCAAGUCGAACGGAAAGGCCCUGCUUUUGUGGGGUGCUCGAGUGGCGAACGGGUGAGUAACACGUGAGUAACCUGCCCUUGACUUUGGGAUAAGUUCAGGAAACUGGGGUUAAUAUCGGAUAGGAGCUCCCGCUGCAUGGUGGGGGGUGGAUAGUUUCGGCGGUUGGGGAUGGAUUCGCGGCUGAUCGGCUUGUUGGUGGGGUAGUGGCAUACCAAGUCUUUGACGGGUAGCCGGCCUGGGAGGGUGACCGGGCACAUUGUGACUGAGAGACGGCCCAGACUCCAACGGGAGGCAACAGUGGGGAGUAUUACACAGUGAGCGGAAGCCUGUGGCGACAACGCCGCGUGCGGGAAGACGGCCUUCGGGUUGUAAACCGCUUUCGCCUGUGACGAAGCGGGAGUGACGGUAAUGAGUAAAGAAGCACCGGCUAACUACGUG
rnacentral:rRNA from 1 species